AUGCAAAUACAUGUAAAUAAUAGCCUAAGCCACAGGCUUCUUGGAGGCCAAGGCUGCUGCUACUGCUGCUGUUUAAAAAAGUCCUACAAUGAGAGGGAAAGGACAGAAAUUUUCUGUCACUGCUCCUGCACUAGGGUGAAGCCUCAGAGAGAAGAAAUGGAAAAACCAUGGCUCUCUGAAGAGAUGGCCUGUGUGGAGCAUGCCUGGAAUGAGAGGAGCAGAGGGCCAGCUCCCACCCUUUCCCCAGCAGGGUCUGGCAAGCCGGCUGUGUCUAGCAUUCCUGUUUCUCCACGGCCAGACACAGUGACUGACACACAAAGUCAGCCAAGGGCCUUGCCCAAGAGAGGUGCCAAACGAACGAAGUUGAGCCUGAUCGCCUCAGGAGAGCAGAACGACUCGUCAACAAGCCAGUCAGGUCUCUAGAAACCCUUCCAUUAUCAAAAGUACUUCCAGAAGAAUGUAAGCUCCAUGAGGACAGAGUUCGGUGUCCAUUUUUUGGUUGUUCAUUCCUCUGUCCCCAGUGC
rnacentral:lncRNA from 1 species